rnacentral:lncRNA from 1 species
CAAAUCCUCAGGGGUACACUCCCUUCUCAAAUGUUCAAUCAGGAAAAGAAUGUUCAAUCUCAGACGACCAAUUCCCAGGAUUAAUAGAAAUACAAGGUUAGACCAUCAUGUAAUCGGGCUUGCAAGAAUGUUCAAUCUAAUGUAUUGGUCCGAGUGCUGGGCAAAACAGGCAGGUUGUGGCAAAACACGCAAGCACUCUUAUUCUAUGACGUCACUAUUGCUAGAAUUUUCCAUUUAAUGUAUCGUACCGGCUGUUGGGCAUGAAAAACAGAUUUUGACAAAAUAAGCAACCCCUCAUCUACUAUGACGUCAAUAUUAAAACCGUGGUGGAAGUCAAAAAUCACUCGUACAGGCGUUAUGUAAUGUGGCGAUUAUCAUCAUCAACGAAAAAAUAUGACCCAAUAAUCCCUCUAGCAUGAAGUUCACACCGAACAGUAAUUUUUUGGGAUGCAAUGAUGUCUUGUGAAAAACUUGUGGAUUGCUGCUUUACCAAUAACGCAUACUUUGCUUAUUAACCAAGCCAUUGAGCCAAAAAUGAGCUUCAUCAUUGAAGAUGAUUUUGCGCUGAAAAUGAGGAUCAGUAUUGAACGGCUAUUUUGAUAAUAAAUUUGGAUAAUUUGCAAUCAAUUGUAUAUAACUUCAUGAGUAAAUGCUUACUAUUAAAGUUUCUAAAUGUCAA